rnacentral:ribozyme from 15 species
AAAUGAUAGCCAUGAAAGAAGGAGUAAUAUUAGGAUUCAUGAGGUAUUGCAGUCUUUCUUCGAUUUCUUUCCUUUUUUCCACUUCCGGAUCUUUCUUUUCAUUUUUCUUGUCUUUCAACACCAAGUCAAUUGCGCUAGUUUUAGAAAUAUCCAAGGAA